rnacentral:rRNA from 1 species
GGGGAUAACCUUCCGAAAGGAGGGCUAAUACCGCAUGACAUCCUGCCUUUGGAUAGGCGGGUAUCAACUCCCGGGGAUCGCAAGACCUGGCGCUAGAAGAGGGGCCCGCGUCCGAUUAGCUAGUUGGUGAGGUAACGGCUCACCAAGGCUCCGAUCGGUAUCCGGCCUGAGAGGGCGGACGGACACACUGGAACUGAGACACGGUCCAGACUCCUACGGGAGGCAGCAGUGGGGAAUUGUUCACAAUGGGCGCAAGCCUGAUGACGCAACGCCGCGUGGAGGAUGAAGAUUUUCGGAUCGUAAACUCCUUUCGACCGAGAUGAAUUCCUGCCGACCUAAUACGUCGGCAGGGUGACAGUAUCGAGGGAAGCAGCCCCGGCU